GGUCAGUAAUCGAUAAAAACCUAUUUUUCCCGUGCGUGAUGCAGUGACGAUGGGUCGCGUUCGUAUUGCUGUCCGUAAAUGUAUAAUUUGUCGCCUCACACGAAUAGCGUUAUCAAGGAAAUUGUUUUGUUGCGUAUAUUGUUGUGGAAGAUCAAUAGGUUGGAAGAGAAAAAAGUGUACGGGUCGUUUACGAACGAGUUAUUGAAAAGCGCGAAAAAAAAACGUGCAUAUGUACAUAGAGAAACCAUGGUAUGUCCAAUGGGGACGAAAAAAGCUUUACAAAGUAUAUAAAUACAUACGUAUGUAAUAUGAGAAUGUUACGCGUCUGUCGUAUACGGAUCGUCACGUGAGAAAUGAAGCAAGAAAGUCGAAACAUCGUGUCUUUUAUACGUAUACACAACGAUGUGCCACAUAACCUAACUUCGUUUCGAUUACGAGGCCGAUGAAACGCUGAGCGUGAUUUUUUUUAUUUUUCGUUUUUUGAAAAUCCUUGUAACUCUUGUACUUGUGUGACUGGUACAGUGGUAUGAUGUAAUUCACGCACUGCAUCCAUAGAAACGUGAGCGUGCGUUUCUAUCGUGAGUAUCAACUGUGCGUGCACGCGUGUUCCGGACGUACCGACGCGUGAGUAUGUACGCGCGGACGAAAACAUGCCGUUGCCAGAAAUAACCAUGUAUGAGUCAACUGCUGAGUCUAAAUAGGAGGUUCGCUACAUUUAGAGCUCGUGUCUUGAUUAUACAUGGUCUACACCAUGACAAAUAACCUAGAAAAUGCGUACCUAUCAAAAGAGUUUGAUUACGACGGCGCGUCGUAAGGCCAUUGUAGCGAAUUCGUGUUCUGAUUGACAGGAUUCUGACGAAUUGUCGCUUUGACGAAUGAAACAUUUGAAGACCGAAACGCAACGCUUGUUUCGCUGUUCAUAAGUAUGAAGACACGAUUUAAUUUAAUACAAAAUGUAAUUAACCCUGUUAGAUACAAGACUGAUCAACUCUACUUGUUAUUAAUUUUUUAAUUUCGCCACAAUAAACUUAAUAUCCAAUUCUCAAGGUACAAGUAUAUACAUACAUACGUCCGUAAAUCCACUCGUUGCAGAAGAUAACGUAGAUAAUGGUAAAUUCUGAGGUAAGAGAAGCGUGUAGAUCGAGAUGUGAAACAAAAUCCUGAGUCAAGUAACAGCAAAUAUAAUAGAGAAGUGAUUAACGAAUUUCAGAAUUUGUUAUAGAAACAAUAGAGAAACGUAGUAAAUAUUAACAAGAGGGAAUGAAGCUUGUUAUCACAAGGGUGUUCUGAUCUAUUUGACUGCUCCGACAUACAAUUUAGGUCGUCAAAAUGGCCACAACACCAGAACCACUGUAACUAUAACACGAAGUAUGGAAUCGCCGAUCGCAAGGAUCUGUCAUAACAAUCCCGAGACUAAGAGCAUAAACUUUACGCUACCAGCGUGCAUCUUUUGUGUUAUAAUUCAUUCGCGUGUUGUAAUCCAACGAGAAGUACGCUGUCAACCAACAGGAAAGAGUUUAGCAGAGAUGUUUUAUUCAUCUGUUUAAUCAACAAUUAAGAUUAAGAUACAUCUCGUGCCACAUCAAAGGUGUAACAUCAAGUAGGUGCCCUUGAAGUACUAGCGUGAUUUGAUUUCCAUCUUUCUUUUUCGCUCGUUAAAACGUGCGGCUUCCAGCGACUCUCGAGUGUUACUUGAUUUUGUAAAAAAGAGAUACCAUAAUAAAUAUGUACAAAGAAGUGUGAGGAAGGGAUGGUAGAAUAGUAAAGCGGGGUAAAAGCUAUCGUUGACUGCACUUGUAAUUCAAAUUUUCUGUUCCGGAGCGCAAGAUGCGUCAAUGUUGGCGAAAAGACAGAGCGAGAGAGAAAGAGAAAUAACUUAAUUAACUGGUUCCGGUGUGCGCGAGAAUCGUUCGUAAAAUCCGUAAAGCGAGAGAAAGAAGCAGAGCGGUGAGCUUAUUCAACUCCGUAAAACUGUUUAUUCAUAAAAGUAUUUUCAUAAGCAGCACCUCGCUUAGCGAAAAAAGAAGUCAUUGCCGCUAAAUGCGGCGUGAAAGCGACACACGGACACUAGUCUCUGAUUUUUCAGGGACACGUUUGAUCUCGUCACUCGGAGAUUAACCUAUCUCUGACGUAUCUACCAGUGGUUACCAACGUGAAUAUAAAUAUAUAUAUAUAGCUAACGGUGUCGCGCGACACACGCGUAACCCUCACAAGCUGACCGGCACGUGUCGAGACAAGGCGGUUAGUUGAAAGCGUCGGAUAGAAAGGCAGACAGAAAAGAGAAAGGCGGGUAGAACCAGAGAAUAAAGGGCCGAGGGGUGGGGUUAGAAUUAUACGUGCCCCGAGGAAAACUCAAUUCGCGGCCACUUUGACGCACCCUCCAUCUGGGUGGAUCGUCGGAUAGGCGCUGAUACAAAUCCACAAGAUAUAUUCCUUCUUCUUCCUUCUCCUCUCUAUAACCAUAGUCUGUGCCCUCUCCUUUUCUCUCUCUCUCAUCAGAGCACAUAGCCGUAGUAGUUUAUCCUGCUUUCUACCCCACUGGUGUACACCCGUGCACGUGCAGAUACUCAUUCGUACACACCGACAGGCCUCGCAGACACGUGCGUGGACCGGCAACAAUUCCUAACCAAAAAGCCGGAGUCACCCUCGCCUCUUCCCCUCUUGCCCCUCGCACGGGAGUGUCUGGCUGCGACCGUCAUCGGCGGGGCAUCGAGAUGCGGGGAAGUAAGAGGGGAAAACACCCGGCACAGUGGCGAGCGGCAAGAGAGGAGUGGGAACACAGACCGACAGUGGCACAGGGGGGAAGCUACGUACUCGUGACGUUGCGUCUAGACGCCCCCUCCACCUCAACCCGAAACGACGUCCACACAACGAGCGCCGAGCCAGCGCAGCGCCGAGGAACAUCUCUCGGUUUUCUCCGCCUCCCGUGUACGUAAAUUGCCGAGCACCGAACUCAGUGUUUUAUUCUCAUGGCGCUAGAUGUCGCUCCCGUUGACUGAAUUAACUAGCGCGACCGCGGAUUUUCAAAGUGCGCGGGUUUUUCUGUAUUCGUAUGGUUUACCUGCGUUACGCACAAGCAAUACCGUUUCAAUUUAUUUGAAUUUCUUUACAUUUUUGUAGUGAUUCUUGGUUUGAGAAAGUGACAGUGUCCGGUGUAUUCUGUGGUGGCUACGUUGAUGAUUAUUUUGGAAGAACGACGAGGAUUUUUCGUUUUGGAACGCGAGACCCCGUGUAAGACGACGACUGACUACAGACGUAGAUCGGACGAUCUAGCCCAGAAAUAUUCUACUUCGGCGCGCAACUUACUCCCUCUACAGCGUCUACAGUCUACAGUCUACAGUCUACAGUCUACAGUCUACAGUCUACAGUCUACAGUCUACAGUCUACAGUCUACAGUCUACAGUCUACAGUCUACAGUCUACAAUCUGCAAUCUACAGUCUACAGUCUACAAUGCAUCUAGAAACGAACUCCCCAAUUGAAUAGUCUAUAACUCAAGCAGCAUAAAAACGACGUACCUAUAAUACAAUUCAUAAGUUGCCGCGGCCUGUAAUUAUCAUGACAAAUGAUCGUUUAAUUGCAAAGGCGGUGUUAACAAUUUCCAUGGACCGCCUACAGGAUUCUUCGUGACGAACGGUCGAUAAGGGUGUUAACUGCAUGUCCUGUGAUUGAAGGAGUGUCUUGUGCAUCGUGAUCGAAACGUGUCAUGAACAAGAGAAGAAGAGAUCAGAGAACGACAGAGAACAAGAGGAUCUAUAGUAACGCAACAACGUCUUUGUCAGGCGUUCGCGCAUUCUUCGUGAGCCCGACAAUUACAUUCCACGCAUCGCUUUGAGCUGUGCCCAACCCGCCGCGCCGCACGCCGCCGCCGUAUUCUGCCCGGCCACACAUCGACACGAUUUGCUCCUGGAAAAUUUCAAUACGCUUUACAAGGUGGCGGACAGUCGCUAGCGAGAUCAAAGGGAUCGUGGACAUAUUUCGCGUUUCGCUUGUAUCACGCCGCUGUCAGGGAAUUUGUCCUUCGCUCGUCCCCUGCUCUCGCCUUUGAUUCCACAAAAGAAAUUUCGUGCUGGGCUUGUUGUCGACGCGACGCCUCAGCUUCUCCGCUCUUUCUUCCUCUUCCGUGGUGGAAAAUUGGUUAACCGUGUGGGAAUUACCCGUCCACUGCGUCGCUUUCUAUGGUACACUUCGUCUCGUUUCGUCUCGUAAUUAUGAAUUACUUUGAAAAUGUAUGAGUGUUUACUAGCAUUUAUGAUACGUUUUAGCCAAGUUUGAGACAGCAAGUAGGUUUUAGAGUGACUGAAAAGAUCGCCACGGAGAAACUUGUUGCGCGAUUCAAUUAGUGCUAUUGGCGAAACUUCAAAAGCCGCUAUUGCACGAUAUUAACAAACUCGAUAACGUAACGAAUCAAAUAUUACAAAUUAUAUGUUAUCUGCCUAUUAUAUUCUAUCAUAUGUGCAUAUAUUCUACAAUUAAAUUGUAAAGGAGAAGUUUCUAAUCUGUAAUUUGUAACUUGUCACUUUGACGAUAUUAUUAACAUAAUGAGAGUGUGGUGAUUUAAAAAUUCUUUUAUAAUUAAAUAUCUAGGAAUAUCUCGCGGCUCGUUAAAUAUUAAUUUUUGCGAAAAUACGUAAGCGAUAGUUAGGAACAAUUUGUUCUAAGAAUCGGUUUGACCAAGCACUCGUUGACCAGGCCGCGUGAUCGUCACGGGGUCGUUGCACCAUUGUUUACGCGUAUAAUGUUAUUGUUGCUGUAUCUCUGGUUGUCGGUUGAUGUAAUGGAACAAUGACGUGCUUAUACGCGGCAAACACGCCAACGAUCCACAGUUAUGUACGUUUGCUGCACUAUCGCUUGCAUAUGAGCUUGCAAAAAUUCAAUGUCACAUUAUUGUCAGAGAAUAUACGUAUUAUUAUUGAAAAGAUCGAAUCGUCGUGUCAGGGCUGUGACAUACAUCGAAGAAAGAUGGGAACGUGAUUUAACCUCGUCAGGCUGUUUAUCUCCUCGUGUGAUAUUGCUCUUAAGUGUUAAAUCCUUGCUUUGUUCAAGUACAUACGUUCACCUAGGAUCGUUCUUUCAACUGGAAAUAUAAAUUUGUAUCUGUUGAGCUUAUUAGAUGUCUGAACAGAGGAACGCGUGGGUAAAUUGUAAAGUAGAAAAUAUAUUUUAAUACAGAAGUGUAAGUACAAGUAGGAAUAUAAUUUGAGCUGGUCCCGAUCCGCACGCUAACAGUGUUACCCUGUAACUGUCUAUGGUCUGCCUUCGUCCCAGUCUAUUGUCUAUACGCUGUCGAUGGUUUCAGUGCUUGGGGAAACUAAAAAGACCAGAUGUAGAGUUUUCUUAGAAGCGGUGACCACUUUAACAGUAUCGAUUAUUAUCAAUCAUAUCGAUCAAUGCGUACGAGCAUGUACAUUGUAUAUGGUUAAGAGGAUUAUGGUUAUAUCCUCGUCGUUUAUAUGGUUAAAAGGAUCAAUAUAGCGAUAUUCGUUUCAAAAAGCUUCACUACGCUAAAACUUGUUUUACGAACUCCAAGAUCAUCCCAAUAUAUAAUAAUUU